UACAGAGGUCUCAAGCGUUGUUCGGAUUCAUUGGGCGUAAAGGGUGUGUAGGUGGCGCCGUAAGUCGGGUGUGAAAUUUCGAGGCUUAACCUCGAAACUGCAUUCGAUACUGCGGUGCUUGAGGACUGGAGAGGAGACUGGAAUUCAUGGUGUAGCAGUGAAAUGCGUAGAUAUCAUGAGGAAGACCAGUGGCGAAGGCGGGUCUCUGGACAGUUCCUGACACUGAGACACGAAGGCCAGGGGAGCAAACGGG
rnacentral:rRNA from 1 species